AAAUAGAUGUUUUUUUCUUGCCAGUCUGCAAGAGUUACGAGCUGGAAGUACCGAGAUCCAAAAUCAAGGCAUUACUGAGGAGUUACGCAGUCGCUGUCUGGCUUUUCUGCGGGAUGGGGCACUAAAAACUUGUGUUUGGGGAGCAAGAAAGGAGCGCUCAGGACCAGCCCUCGCUGCCGUGCUCUCCGUUUGAUCCCGUGCCCGGAGAUGGAAAGAUUUGCGUCGACUUUGUGGGCUGUGAGAUGAUAAGCCACGUAAUCAAGGAAACAGCACCAUCCGGAGACUUUGAAUAAUGCUGUGAAUGAAAAUCGAUCUCUG